rnacentral:rRNA from 1 species
AUUGAACGCUGGCGGAAUGCUUUUCACAUGCAAGUCGAGCGGCAGCGCGGGGCAACCUGGCGGCGAGCGGCGAACGGGUGAGUAAUGCAUCGGAACAUGUCCAUGGAUGGGGGAUAGCCCGGCGAAAGCCGGAUUAAUACCGCAUGAGCCCGAGAGGGGAAAGGGGGGGACCGCAAGGCCUCACGUCGAUGGGUUGGCCGAUGCCCGAUUAGCUAGUUGGUGAGGUAAUGGCUCACCAAGGCGAUGAUCGGUAGCUGGUCUGAGAGGAUGAUCAGCCACACUGGGACUGAGACACGGCCCAGACUCCUACGGGAGGCAGCAGUGGGGAAUUUUGGACAAUGGGGGCAACCCUGAUCCAGCCAUUCCGCGUGAGUGAAGAAGGCCUUCGGGUUGUAAAGCUCUUUUGUCCGGAGCGAAACGGGGCGCGUGAAUAUCGCGCUCUUCUGACGGUACCGGAAGAAUAAGCACCGGCUAACUACGUGCCAGCAGCCGCCGUAA